AUUGAACGCUGGCGGCAGGCCUAACACAUGCAAGUCGAGCGAGCGGCGGACGGGUGAGUAAUGUAUGGGGACUGCCCGAUAGAGGGGGAUAACUACUGGAAACGGUAGCUAAUACCGCAUACUAUCGGAUAACCCAUAUGGGAUUAGCUAUUAGGUGAAGUAAUGGCUCACCUAGGCGACGAUCCCUGGCUGGUCUGAGAGGAUGAUCAGCCACACGUGGACUGCGACACGGCCCAGACUCCGCCGGCGGCAGGAGUGGAGAAUAUUGCAAAAUGGGGGCAAGCCUGUUGCAGCAAGGCCGCGUGUAUGAAGCAGGCCCUAGGGUUGGAAAGUAAUUGCAGUCGGGAUGCGUUAGCGACAGAAGAAGCACCGGCUAACUCCGUGCCAGCAGCCGAGUUAAUAC
rnacentral:rRNA from 1 species